UACAGAGGUCUCAAGCGUUGUUCGGAAUCACUGGGCGUAACGGGUGCGUAGGCCGCCCGGUAAGUCAGCGGUGAAAUCCCGGAGCUCAACUUCGGAAUUGCCUCCGAUACUGCCGUGCUUGAGGACUGGAGAGGAGAUUGGAAUUCACAGUGGAGCAGUGAAAUGCGUAGAUAUUGUGAGGAACACUAGUGGCGAAGGCGAAUCUCUGGACAGUUCCUGACGCUGAGGCACGAAGGCCAGGGGAGCAAACGGG
rnacentral:rRNA from 1 species